GAAUGAACGCCGCAAGAGAAUCCAAAUGUCUGAGUAGACUUCACUAACCUUCAAAGACUAAUCAGCCGUGAGUUUGUCUGAUGGAGAAGUACGCUGCAGCUGUGCAUCCGCGACAGGACAGCCGAGGGGUCAAAGGCACCAAAUCCGACAUGUCUGAUCAUCCAGACAAAAAGCACAAGCAGGGGAAGAACUCCAGGUCUCAACAAACGAGGCAGCAUCACCAAAGUCAAAGCCAUCACCGCCGCCAUCAUCAGUCAGACGAAAGUCUCAGUCAGGAUUUCCAUUCUGCAGAGGAGAACAUUGUCAGUGAUCAUCAGCAGAAACAUCGCCAUCCGUCCGACAACGCAAAGACCUCCUCUGUGCAUCACCACAAGAAUCGACAUGUUUCACUCUCUGAAACGUCUUCUUUCUCCACUUCAUCGUCUUCAUCCUCAACAUCUUCCUCUCUCUCUUCUUCUUCAACAUCUCUUUCCUCUUCCUCGUCGUC